UAUCACAUGGUCAUAAGUAUUCAGACCCUUUGCUCAGUAUUGAGUAGAAGCACCCUUUUGAGCUACUACAGCCAUGAGUCUUCUUGGGAAUGAUGCAACAAGUUUUUCACACCUGGAUUUGGGGAUCCUCUGCCAUUCUUCCUUGCAGAUCCUCUCCAGUUCUGUCAGGUUGGAUGGUGAACGUUGGUGGACAGCCAUUUUCAGGUCUCUCCAGAGAUGCUCAAUUGGGUUUAGGUCAGGGCUCUGGCUGGGCCAGUCAGCAAUGGUCACAGAGUUGUUCCGAAGCCACUCCUUUGUUAUUUUAGCUGUGUGCUUAGGGUUAUUGUCUUGUUGGAAGGUGAACCUUCAGCCCAGUCUGAGGUCCUGAGCACUCUGGAAGAGGUUUUCUUCCAGGAUAUCUCUGUACUUGGCCGCAUUCAUCUUUCCUUCAAUUGCAACCAGUCGUCCUGUCCCUGCAGCUGAAAAACAUCCCCAUAGCAUGAUGCUGCCACCACCAUGUUUCACUGUUGGGAUUGUAUUGGGCAGGUGAUGAGCAGUGCCUGGUUUUCUCCACACAUACCGCUUAGAAUUAACGCCAAAAAGUUCAAUCUUGUUCUCAUCAGACCAGAGAAUCUUCUUUCUCAUAGUCUGGGAGUCCCUCAUGUGUUUUUUGGCAAACUCUAUGCAGGCUUUCACAUGUCUUGCACUGAGGAGAGGCUUCCGUCGGGCCACUCUGCCAUAAAGCCCCGACUGGUGGAGGGCUGCAGUGAUAGUUGAAUUUGUGGAACUUUCUCCCAUCUCCCUACUGCAUCUCUGGAGCUCAGCCACAGUGAUCUUUGGGUUCUUCUUUACCUCUCUCACCAAGGCUCUUCUCCCACGAUUGCUCAGUUUGGCUGGACGGCCAGGUCUAGGAAGAGUUCUGGUCGUCCCAAACUUCUUUCAUUUAAGGAUUAUGGAGGCCACUGUGCUCUUAGGAACCUUGAGUGCUGCAGAAAUUCUUUUGUAACCUUGGCCAGAUCUGUGCCUUGCCACAAUUCUGUCUCUGAGCUCCUUGGGCAGUUCCUUCGACCUCAUGAUUCUCAUUUGCUCUGACAUGCACUGUGAGCUGUAAGGUCUUAUAUAGACAGGUGUGUGCCUUUCCUAAUCAAGUCCAAUGAGUUUAAUUAAACACAGCUGGACUCCAAUGAAGGAGCAGAACCAUCUCAAGGAGGAUCAGAAGAAAUGGACAGCAUGUGAGUUAAAUAUGAGUGUCACAGCAAAGGGUCUGAAUACUUAUGACCAUGUGAUAUUUCAGUUUUUCUUUUUUAAUAAAUUUGCAAAAAUUUCUACAUUUCUGUUUUUUUCUGUCAAGAUGGGGUGCUGAGUGUACAUUAAUGAGAAAUAAAAUGAACUUUUUUGAUUUUAGCAAAUGGCUGCAAUGAAACAAAGAGUGAAAAUUUUAAAGGGGUCUGAAUACUUUCCACACCCACUGUAUGUAUAUAUAUAUAUAUAUAUAUAUAUAUAGCCCUAAAUCACAUCCUAAUAGAUGUGGUGGCUGUGUUUGUGCAGGUAACAUCUUUGUCUUUUGAGAUAUUAUAAAGUGUUUUCUAAUAUAAUUGACUAAAUAUGAUAUUCCCUACAAAAUGUUAUUGAAUUAGAUAUCAAAUGUAUAUAACUGCUUAAAACCAAUUAAUUAUGUUACAAAAAUGAAAUAAAUAGCUCUUUACUCUUUAGCACCCUCUACAGCCCACUGUGAGUCAGUUGCAAAUACUGAUUGAAUAACUCACAUUUAUUAAUGCAAUAUAGGGUGUAUUUUAAAUUAAUGUACAUUCUAUUAUUGAACAAGUAAUUUGCACACACACACACACACACACACACACACACACACACACAAAUAUAUUGUACUACUGUUCCCAGUGUCAUGCCUCCUCUUCCCCUUUUGAAAGAAGUGGAUGAUACACAGUUAUACACGGUGCAGCAGUCUAUGAUUCAUUGACAAAACUGGUCUUUGCUAUGAGCCAUCACUGAACUCUUCCCCUUCUGGUGUGGUCAACCAGAGUUACAGAAUUUGUCUCAUGUCAAAGUGUGGGGAAUAUUUUGGUUUGGUUUCGAUGGUCUGGCUGUUGGCAGAGUCCCAACUUAGUGACAGCUAAUCACGUGUCUAAAAGGCAUGACCACUUGGAUGUUUAUGUAUGCGAACAGAAACCAUCUUAUUUCUAUUACAAAAGGAGAAAUUAGGGCCAGUACGGCACAUUGUUAAUCCCUGGACUUCAUAUCCUCAAUUUUUUGUUUUUGUUGGCAUGGGGACUACAGUAUUUCUGAAAUUUUGUACUUGUACUUGUAUUGAUGCCCAACUACCUGCCCUCUGAUCCUGGGGAACUUUUGGGACCCUCAAGGUCUGUGGGUUCCGUGGCAGUUGCCUAUUUUUCCCAGCUGGUAAUCCAGCCAUGAUGUAUAUCCCUCCUGACUCUGACAAAAGCAUUGACGACAACCCCGGAGGAGCCUGAGGAGGCAGCACAAUGCCUUUGCUUCCCCUUUUGCAAGAACUGGAUGAUGCACAGUUCUGCAUACUGCCGCAUUUUAGGAAUCACUAACUAAAGCAAUAUUAGGCUCUAUCCUAUGAGCCAUCACUGAACUAUUUCCCCUCUGGUGUGGUCAGCCAGAGUUACAGUUUAUUGACAGCUAAUCAUGUGUAUACCUGCAAUGCUAGUUGUUUAUGUAUGUUUAUGUAUCCAAACAGAAACCGACUUCUUAUAUCUAUAUCAUAAUAGGAGCAUUCAGGACCAGUACAGCUCAUUAUUAUUAUUAUUAUUAUUAUUAUUAUUAUUAUUAAUUAUUAAUAAUAAUUAUUCAUCACUGGACUUCAUAUAAACCCAAUUUAAAGAUUAAUUUUACUCUUAUGUUGGCAUGCGGACUCCACUACAGUGUUAUUUCUCCUUUCUGGUCCUAUCUGUUUUUGAGGAGUCACUUAAGUGGCUUUCAAAUGUCAGUAUUAUGAAAUUGGGACCGAUACAUACCAGAGGGAGGGGUCUGACUAGAAGAGAAACGGUUAAACAUGCUUCAUACAAGUGGGGGAAUUUUCUUUCCAGAAUCAUGCAUUAGAUAUGGGCCACAUAGAUCUUUAGAUCUUGGAAAAUAAUCUGACAUAGCACUUCAUUUAUUAUCAUCAUCAUUAUAUUUUUAUCAUCAAUGUUAGUAAAGUAGUAGUAUCAGUAGUCAGUACAUCAGUCCCAUCUGCGGUACAGUAACAUUGCCUUUAUCUAUUUUGUUUUUUUGUUAACUUAUCCACAACCAAUGUAUCUCUGUAUGUUCAGUUGAUGACCUCUGCAUAAUGAAGACAUCACGGUCUGUCCAAAUAAACUUCAGGAUGAUUUGCCUAUUCAAGCUAAGUUCAUUUACUGGAUGGAGUGUGGUAGAAAUUGUGAUUUCCUCACUGAGAAGUGAGCAAAUAAAUGAUUGUAACAGUUGUAUUUUGUCUAUUUAAUAAAAUAGAAUAAUAAAAGAAAUAAAUAGUUCAAAAGAAUUACAAAAGUCAAUUUGUCUAUUUCAGCUCAACAGGGUGCACACGUGGAACAGAGAGCUGUGCUGCCAAUUUCAAGAAGACACAUUCAAGACUACUUUCCAAAACUUAAUUCAAUUUUUAAAUGUCAAAGUAUGAAAAUCAAAAUGAAUUUUUAAAAAAGUGAUCUCAUUGUUUUGUUGACAAAUUUUCCUGGCCAGCCUUGUACCUUUGUCCUCCUUUUCGGCAUCCUCUUGUAGGAAAUCCAACAGGGCCCCUUUGGAGGUGUGCCUUCUCCUUUGCGGACAGACGGAGGUGGAUGGCUCAUCAUCUGCCUGUCUGGUGGUGACAAUACUUGUGCCAGGCUGUACAGACUCCUCCUCACCUGCCUGGCCACUAGUUGUGACUCCACCAGGAGAUGAUGAGCCACUAUUGCUGAAGGCCACACCAGCCAAAAUAAAUCUUGGAUCUCUGUGAAGUCUGCUCUGAGUUGCCUUAACAUGCCAGGGAAAUCCUCCACGAAAUGACAGCACUGGUUGUUGCACAUGGGACUGCACCAGACAGUGCAGAAGAAAGAUAAGACGACCAAGAUGGACAGGAGAAGAGACCGAGGAGUCAUGCUGGUGGACAAGCUGCUGAAGUCUUCUGGAGGCAGAGAAGAGAAGAGUGGGCCCUCAGGGUGAAGAUGCUGCUGAAGUUUUUCUGACUUCUGACUGGAGGAAUCUUGGUAGGGUCUUGCUGAACAGGUCAGAAGAGAAAAAUUCAUACAUUUGGGCUCAUCUGUUGUCUUAAUUUAUAGCCAGAUAUGAAGGCGGAGACUAACAGGAAAGCCAACAUACUUCAUACAUACAGGGAAAUUUUUUUUUAUUGCUAAGUCAUGAAUUAGGUAUGAGCCACACCUCCCAUGAGAUAGGCUGGUACUAUUGAUAGAUCUCAAGAAUAUUCACCAUCAAAAAUCAUUUAUGUAUUCUGUAUUUUUUCCAUUUUAAUUAUAUUAUUAUAAUCAGUGUUAUUAAGUUAAUAGUAUUAUUAGUAGUAUGACUGCACAUAUCAGUCCCAUCUAAGGUACAGUGACAUUGCCUUUAUCCACUGAACUAGCACAGAUAUGGAACUUAAAAUAGAUACUUAGGUGCAGAAAUUAUAUUAUCAAAUUGCAUUGUGCUGUGUUGUAUUAAUGUAUACAGUGUUUUCUUAAUUUACUAUAAUAAUGAGAGAAAGGAUGCUUUCAGUCAUUUUAAACGUUUCCAUGGGCGCAGUAUAUCACUGCAGCAAAUAUCAUUAAACAGCUAAACUUAAAAACUGUUGACAGAGAAACUCUGUAAAACAGAGGAGGCUGUUUUACUCUGAACAAUUUCCCUGUAUGAACCUGAACUGUGUGUGGGAACUUCUGGAGGUGUAAAAUAACUCAACAAAUAACAUUAAUUAACAUUAGAUCGUGCGAUUUAAAUAAUCAAUGAAGCUGCUGUGCCUCGUGCUUAAAUGCACACAGCGUCUCUCUUAAUAAGGAAAAUCCUCACACUAAUUCAGCCUCAAUCCAUCUGCUGUCAAUCACAAUGUUAUCAUAAUUUUAACAGAUUUAUCUCAGCGCCGCAGAUUAACUGUCAUCUGCCCAUCACUUUAAUGCAGGUUGUUGUUCAUUUGCAGGUGUUUGUUAAACAGGUAACAGGCUGCUACUCUGGCACUGAUAACUGUAUAUCUUUAUUAAUAUUAGUACAGUUCACAUGUGUGCAGACACAAACUCGACCAAGAGUCUCUACAGCUGUUAAAGCCGACUGACAGCAAACAAACUGCAGAGUGAUACAAUCAAUGGCGUAGCAAAUGGGUGUAGUAUUACUAAUCCUAUCUAUCAUGUGAAAUGUGUUUGUAACAACUUCGUGGAUGUGAAAUUAUUUUUGUUCUCUCUGUGUUAUCAUCCUGUCAUAUGUUUCUGAUGUGACAUUAUGACCUGAACUUAACUGAAGUGAAACUAGUUUGUUUACAUUUUCAGGUCACAAUCCCUUGAGUAAGACAAUGUUUUUAACGUCUGCUCUGGAGAUGCUUAAGUGCUAUUGUGCUGAAGGUGGUGUUUUGCUCUGUAAACUGCACCUAAACUCAGUUUCUGAUGUUGUCACUAACCAGUGCUGCAGUCAGCAAUAUUUACUUAUUACUUUGAUAUGAAAUGAUAAAUGUACCUGGACUUUAAUGUAGAUGCUGGUAGAGCUUUGCAUGAUCAUCUUGACUGUGAAAACUUUGUGCUUUGCAGACCAGAUGAGCUGCAUGGUGAACUAUAGUUUUGCCUUUACAUUUGCUCCACCUUAUGUGUCACAUUGUGUGCAUCUUGUGUGUCUGCGUAGUGUACUUACUGCUGUCUCCUUUAGAGGAAAUCUAACUGUCUUUACAAAUAGAUUGACCACAUUCCUCUUUCACUUUCACAUUGGCUGUGUGUUAGUUAGUAUUAGUGUUGUGUGUGUAUUGUAUUGAAUCAUUCAGAGAUAUGUUACUGUAUUAUGAUUAUUGUUAUGUGAACAUAAAUGAUAGUAGUGUG